AGCUUUGCGCAGUGGCAGUAUCGUAGCCAAUGAGGUUUAUCCAAGGUGCGAUUAUUGCUAAUUGAAAACUUUUCCCUAAUCCAA
rnacentral:snRNA from 1 species